rnacentral:rRNA from 1 species
UGCAGUCGAACGAUGAUGCUGGAGCUUGCUCCAGUUGAUUAGUGGCGAACGGGUGAGUAACACGUGAGCAAUCUGCCCUUGACUCUGGGAUAACUGCGGGAAACUGUAGCUAAUACCGGAUACUUUCACCGGAAGGCAUCUUCUGGUGAUGAAAGAAUUUCGGUCAGGGAUGAGCUCGCGGCCUAUCAGCUUGUUGGUGAGGUAACGGCUCACCAAGGCGACGACGGGUAGCCGGCCUGAGAGGGUGACCGGCCACACUGGGACUGAGACACGGCCCAGACUCCUACGGGAGGCAGCAGUGGGGAAUAUUGCACAAUGGGCGCAAGCCUGAUGCAGCAACGCCGCGUGAGGGAUGAAGGCCUUCGGGUUGUAAACCUCUUUUAGCAGGGAAGAAGCGAAAGUGACGGUACCUGCAGAAAAAGCACCGGCUAACUACGUGCCAGCAGCCGCGGUAAUACGUAGGGUGCAAGCGUUGUCCGGAAUUAUUGGGCGUAAAGAGCUCGUAGGCGGUUUGUCACGUCUGCUGUGAAAAUCCAAGGCUCAACCUUGGACUUGCAGUGGGUACGGGCAGGCUGGAGUGCGGUAGGGGAGAUGGGAAUUCCUGGUGUAGCGGUGGAAUGCGCAGAUAUCAGGAGGAACACCAAUGGCGAAGGCACAUCUCUGGGCCGUAACUGACGCUGAGGAGCGAAAGCGUGGGGAG